rnacentral:rRNA from 1 species
UGGGGAAUUUUGCACAAUGGGGGAAACCCUGAUGCAGCGACGCCGCGUGAUUUAGAAGGCCUUCGGGUUGUAAAAAUCUUUUCUAUGGGAAGAAAAUGACAGUACCAUAGGAAUAAGGACCGGCUAAUUACGUGCCAGCAGCCGCGGUAAUACGUAAGGUCCGAGCGUUGUCCGGAAUCAUUGGGCGUAAAGGGUACGUAGGCGGGUAAGCAAGUUAGAAGUGAAAUCCUGUAGCUCAACUACAGUAAGCUUUUAAAACUGCUCAUCUUGAGAUAUGGAAGGGAAAGUGGAAUUCCCAGUGUAGCGGUGAAAUGCGUAGAUAUUGGGAGGAACACCAGUAGCGAAGGCGGCUUUCUGGACUGCAACUGACACUGAGGCACGAAAGCGUGGGUAGCAAACAGG